rnacentral:rRNA from 2 species
GACGAACGCUGGCGGCGUGCCUAAUACAUGCAAGUCGAGCGAACCAAUAAGAAGCUUGCUUUUUGUUGGUUAGCGGCGGACGGGUGAGUAACACGUGGGUAACCUGCCUGUAAGACCGGGAUAACUCCGGGAAACCGGUGCUAAUACCGGAUAGAUUAUCUUUCCGCCUGGAGAGAUAAGGAAAGAUGGCUUUUGCCAUCACUUACAGAUGGGCCCGCGGCGCAUUAGCUAGUUGGUGAGGUAACGGCUCACCAAGGUGACGAUGCGUAGCCGACCUGAGAGGGUGAUCGGCCACACUGGGACUGAGACACGGCCCAGACUCCUACGGGAGGCAGCAGUAGGGAAUCUUCCGCAAUGGACGAAAGUCUGACGGAGCAACGCCGCGUGAGCGAAGAAGGUCUUCGGAUCGUAAAGCUCUGUUGUUAGGGAAGAACAAGUAUCGGAGGAAAUGCCGGUACCUUGACGGUACCUGACGAGAAAGCCACGGCUAACUACGUGCCAGCAGCCGCGGUAAUACGUAGGUGGCAAGCGUUGUCCGGAUUUAUUGGGCGUAAAGCGCGCGCAGGCGGUCCUUUAAGUCUGAUGUGAAAUCUUGCGGCUCAACCGCAAGCGGUCAUUGGAAACUGGGGGACUUGAGUGCAGAAGAGGAAAGCGGAAUUCCACGUGUAGCGGUGAAAUGCGUAGAGAUGUGGAGGAACACCAGUGGCGAAGGCGGCUUUCUGGUCUGUAACUGACGCUGAGGCGCGAAAGCGUGGGGAGCAAACAGG